CCCCAGACUCCUACGGGAGGCAGCAGUGAGGAAUAUUGGUCAAUGGUCGGGAGACUGAACCAGCCAAGCCGCGUGAGGGAUGAAGGUACAGAGUAUCGUAAACCUCUUUUGUCAGGGAACAAAGGCGGGGACGUGUCCCCGGAUGAGUGUACCUGAAGAAAAAGCAUCGGCUAACUCCGUGCCAGCAGCCGCGGUAAUACGGAGGAUGCGAGCGUUAUCCGGAUUUAUUGGGUUUAAAGGGUGCGCAGGCGGCGGUUUACGUCGGGGGUACAUUUUCGGGGCUCAACCCCGGCGAGCCGUUGAAACUGGCUUGCUAGAGUGGGCGAGAAGUAUGCGGAAUGCGUGGUGUAGCGGUGAAAUGCAUAGAUAUCACGCAGAACUCCGAUUGCGAAGGCAGCAUACCGGCGCCCAACUGACGCUCAGGCACGAAAGCGUGGGUAUCGAACAGGAUUAGAUACCCCUGUAAA
rnacentral:rRNA from 1 species